rnacentral:rRNA from 1 species
GACGAACGCUGGCGGCGUGCUUAACACAUGCAAGUCUAACGGAAAGGCCCUGCUUUUGUGGGGUGCUCGAGUGGCGAACGGGUGAGUAACACGUGAGUAACCUGCCCUUGACUUUGGGAUAACUUCAGGAAACUGGGGCCAAUACCGGAUAGGAGCUCCUGCUGCAUGGUGGGGGUUGGAAAGUUUCGGCGGUUGGGGAUGGACUCGCGGCUUAUCAGCUUGUUGGUGGGGUAGUGGCUUACCAAGGCUUUGACGGGUAGCCGGCCUGAGAGGGUGACCGGCCACAUUGGGACUGAGAUACGGCCCAGACUCCUACGGGAGGCAGCAGUGGGGAAUAUUGCACAAUGGGCGGAAGCCUGAUGCAGCAACGCCGCGUGCGGGAUGAAGGCCUUCGGGUUGUAAACCGCUUUCGCCUGUGACGAAGCGUGAGUGACGGUAAUGGGUAAAGAAGCACCGGCUAACUACGUG